GGUGAGAUGGCCGAGCGGUUAAGGCGCCAGACUAAGGUUAUGCUUACGUAAUCAUGGAUCAAAUCACAUGGUGAUUACAUCAUCUGGUCCGAAAGGGCGUGGGUUCGAAUCCCACUCUCAUCA